rnacentral:lncRNA from 1 species
CGUAAAAUACGUUUCUCAACAACAAACAAUAAUAACAAAUUUAACAACUCACUAACCAGUAUAAGAAACCAAAAUUUACUAAUAGUCUUGAAAACCACUGUGUGCCAUUGCCAGUAGAAUUUCUUUUCUCUUAACCGAAGAAACUGCUAUCCUGAAUGUUCUGUUUCUCAUUCACAUGAUUGUUUUAAGAGUUAUACUGCUAUAACUGUGUGUAUGAUUAAUGUAUUGCUUUCUCUAUCUGCACAUUAUAAAUUUUAUCCUACUCACUAUAUUAUUUUGCAAGUGGCUUUAUUUUGAUAUAUUGUUUCUGAGGUACUUGAUUUUUAGUAAGUAUAGCAGUCAAUUUUUGUGUACUACUUAGUCGUAU